CUUGCGAGACAAAGUUUAAAAACCUAAAAGACACCUUUACAAAACUGAAAACCAAAAUCAAGGACAAAAGCAAAAGUGGGGCCGGAGCCAAGGACAUUCCCUCCGUUAAGUGGAAGCAUUUUGAGGCGAUGCUGCCAAUAAUGGAGAAAGUGUACGAGGAGCCCAUCAUAUGCAGCAACAUCACUUUUCAGCAGACCAGAGGGGCAGAAUGUCACUCUGAGGAACCUGCCACAAGCAAAGACAACGUCGAAGACGAGUUUUUGUGGAACGACAUCUUUGAAGAUGAUGCAGUGGACCUGGAGAGGUGUGGCAGCAGCUCAUCCGAGAG